UGAAGCCUGUGCUAAUGAUCUUCAAUUUACUGAUGAUUAAGCCAAGGUGUAGAAGACUUUGCUGAYUGCUAGAAGGUUAAGCAGAGGGUGAAUGGAGACAAAUCUUGACUUGUGGCUCUAUACCUUGUUUGUUGAGAAGCUACUGAGCUUGUUUCUACAAGGUGCUGACUUUGCCUUGUGGCCUGUCCUGUAAGGCAUCAUGUGUUGCUUACAAGUUAAAUUACGUCCGCCAACAGAACUCGACAAUGGA